rnacentral:rRNA from 1 species
AUUGAACGCUAGCGGGAUGCUUUACACAUGCAAGUCGAACGAGCGGCGGACGGGUGAGUAAUGUAUGGGGAUCUGCCCGAUAGAGGGGGAUAACUACUGGAAACGGUAGCUAAUACCGCCUACUAUCGGAUGAACCCAUAUGGGAUUAGCUAGUAGGUGGGGUAAAGGCUCACCUAGGCGACGAUCCCUAGCUGGCCUGAGAGGAUGACCAGCCACACUGGAACGGAGACACGGUCCAGACUCCGACGGGAGGCAGCAGUGGGGAAUAUUGCACAAUGGGCGCAAGCCUGAUGCAGCCAUGCCGCGUGUAUGAAGAAGGCCUUCGGGUUGUAAAGUACUUUCAGCGGGGAGGCGUUACCCGCAGAAGAAGCACCGGCUAACUCCGUGCCAGCCGCCGCGGUAAUUC